AGUAGAGAUGAAGGUGUGUUUCCUGGACUAUCGUCACACUGAGGAUAGCUGAACCCAUCUCAACCUCACAGCAUCAUCAGCACAGUAGAAAUGAAGGUGUGUUUCCAGGAUUAUCAUCACAAUGAGGACAGUUAAAUUCAUCUGUUCACCAUCUCCUUCUACAACCACACAGUAUCAGCAAAGUAGAAAUGAAGGUGUGUUUCCAGGAUUAUCAUCACACUGAGGACAGUUGAAUUCAUCUGUUCACCAUCUCCUUCUACAACCACACAGUAUCAGCAAAGAAAUGAAGGCGUGUUUCCUGGAUUAUCAUUACACUGAGGACAGUUGAAUUCCUCUGUUCACCAUCUCGUUCUACAACCACACAGUAUCAGCAAAG
rnacentral:lncRNA from 1 species